CUGCUUCCUAAGGAAAACCUUUGCCUCUUGCUGUGAAAAGAACCGAUGCCCUUAGAUCUCCCAGAAGCCCAGUCACAGAUGGACCUUGACAGGAAAGCCAAAUCCUGAAUUGUUUACUCUGAAUGUUGGCUGCCACCUCUGUGGUCAUAGGGCUGCUUCUUACUAAUGGGACAUCGUCCAGUGACUUGGAUGCUCAGGAUGCCCAUUUGGUUUCUGUGCCAUGCCAAAGUUGGGCUGCUUGGAAAUCAGGAAUCCUCAGAAAUGGGAAUGACAAGACAUUCCUUUAAAACUCCAUGAUUCCUUUCAGGCUAUUGAAAAAAAAAAAAAGCCAGCCUUCCAGCCAACAGAACAGCCAGGAGGUCAGCCUUACAAGGAAUAAACAUUAUAUCAUGGAGGGAAAUGAGUCACCAGGCAUCAUGCUGAGAACUGAGUCAGUUUCAGACUGACUCAUAUCUCUCUGGGCCAAGGAACAAUUCUAGUCCUGGCCUGACGGAAAAUGACUCACAGGUUACCCCCAGCAAGGU